CGGGGUGUAGUAUAGCGGUAGAAUUCGCGGUUUGGGACCGUGAGGCGGGAGUUCGACUCUCCCCACCCCGA
rnacentral:tRNA from 4 species